GUGGCCUAGUGGUUAGAGCAUCUGCCUUGGAUGUGGGAGGUUGUGGGUUCAAUCCACUGCAGACA